GAGUUUGAUCAUGGCUCAGAUUGAACGCUGGCGGUAUGCAUAACACAUGCAAGUCGAACGGUAGCAGGCUCGGGAAACCGAGUGCUGACGAGUGGCGGACGGGUGAGUAAUGCGUAGGGAUUUGCCUAGUAGAGGGGGAUAACCUGGGGAAACUCAGGCUAAUACCGCAUAUGCCUAAGGGUGAAAGAGGGGGACCGUAAAAGGCCUCUUGCUACUGGAUGAACCUGCGUAGGAUUAGCUAGUUGGUAGGGUAAAGGCCUACCAAGGCGAAGAUCCUUAACUGGUCUGAGAGGACGACCAGUCACACUGGGACUGAGA
rnacentral:rRNA from 1 species